UACGUAGGGCGCAAGCGUUGUCCGGAAUUAUUGGGCGUAAAGAGCUCGUAGGCGGUCUGUUGCGUCUGCUGUGAAAACCCGGGGCUUAACCCCUGGCUUGCAGUGGAUACGGACAGACUAGAGGUAGGUAGGGGAGAGUGGAAUUCCCGGUGUAGCGGUGAAAUGCGCAGAUAUCGGGAGGAACACCGGUGGCGAAGGCGGUUCUCUGGGCCUUACCUGACGCUGAGGAGCGAAAGCGUGGGGAGCGAACAGG
rnacentral:rRNA from 1 species